GGUUAAGCGACUAAGCGUACACGGUGGAUGCCCUGGCAGUCAGAGGCGAUGAAGGACGUGCUAAUCUGCGAUAAGCGUCGGUAAGGUGAUAUGAACCGUUAUAACCGGCGAUUUCCGAAUGGGGAAACCCAGUGUGAUUCGUCACACUAUCAUUAACUGAAUCCAUAGGUUAAUGAGGCGAACCGGGGGAACUGAAACAUCUAAGUACCCCGAGGAAAAGAAAUCAACCGAGAUUCCCCCAGUAGCGGCGAGCGAACGGGGAGCAGCCCAGAGCCUGAAUCAGUGUGUGUGUUAGUGGAAGCGUCUGGAAAGGCGCGCGAUACAGGGUGACAGCCCCGUACACAAAAAUGCACAUGCUGUGAGCUCGAUGAGUAGGGCGGGACACGUGGUAUCCUGUCUGAAUAUGGGGGGACCAUCCUCCAAGGCUAAAUACUCCUGACUGACCGAUAGUGAACCAGUACCGUGAGGGAAAGGCGAAAAGAACCCCGGCGAGGGGAGUGAAAAAGAACCUGAAACCGUGUACGUACAAGCAGUGGGAGCCUCUUAAUGGGGUGACUGCGUACCUUUUGUAUAAUGGGUCAGCGACUUAUAUUCUGUAGCAAGGUUAACCGAAUAGGGGAGCCGAAGGGAAACCGAGUCUUAACUGGGCGUUAAGUUGCAGGGUAUAGACCCGAAACCCGGUGAUCUAGCCAUGGGCAGGUUGAAGGUUGGGUAACACUAACUGGAGGACCGAACCGACUAAUGUUGAAAAAUUAGCGGAUGACUUGUGGCUGGGGGUGAAAGGCCAAUCAAACCGGGAGAUAGCUGGUUCUCCCCGAAAGCUAUUUAGGUAGCGCCUCGUGAAUUCAUCUCCGGGGGUAGAGCACUGUUUCGGCAAGGGGGUCAUCCCGACUUACCAACCCGAUGCAAACUGCGAAUACCGGAGAAUGUUAUCACGGGAGACACACGGCGGGUGCUAACGUCCGUCGUGAAGAGGGAAACAACCCAGACCGCCAGCUAAGGUCCCAAAGUCAUGGUUAAGUGGGAAACGAUGUGGGAAGGCCCAGACAGCCAGGAUGUUGGCUUAGAAGCAGCCAUCAUUUAAAGAAAGCGUAAUAGCUCACUGGUCGAGUCGGCCUGCGCGGAAGAUGUAACGGGGCUAAACCAUGCACCGAAGCUGCGGCAGCGACGCUUAUGCGUUGUUGGGUAGGGGAGCGUUCUGUAAGCCUGCGAAGGUGUGCUGUGAGGCAUGCUGGAGGUAUCAGAAGUGCGAAUGCUGACAUAAGUAACGAUAAAGCGGGUGAAAAGCCCGCUCGCCGGAAGACCAAGGGUUCCUGUCCAACGUUAAUCGGGGCAGGGUGAGUCGACCCCUAAGGCGAGGCCGAAAGGCGUAGUCGAUGGGAAACAGGUUAAUAUUCCUGUACUUGGUGUUACUGCGAAGGGGGGACGGAGAAGGCUAUGUUGGCCGGGCGACGGUUGUCCCGGUUUAAGCGUGUAGGCUGGUUUUCCAGGCAAAUCCGGAAAAUCAAGGCUGAGGCGUGAUGACGAGGCACUACGGUGCUGAAGCAACAAAUGCCCUGCUUCCAGGAAAAGCCUCUAAGCAUCAGGUAACAUCAAAUCGUACCCCAAACCGACACAGGUGGUCAGGUAGAGAAUACCAAGGCGCUUGAGAGAACUCGGGUGAAGGAACUAGGCAAAAUGGUGCCGUAACUUCGGGAGAAGGCACGCUGAUAUGUAGGUGAAGCGACUUGCUCGUGGAGCUGAAAUCAGUCGAAGAUACCAGCUGGCUGCAACUGUUUAUUAAAAACACAGCACUGUGCAAACACGAAAGUGGACGUAUACGGUGUGACGCCUGCCCGGUGCCGGAAGGUUAAUUGAUGGGGUUAGCGGUAACGCGAAGCUCUUGAUCGAAGCCCCGGUAAACGGCGGCCGUAACUAUAACGGUCCUAAGGUAGCGAAAUUCCUUGUCGGGUAAGUUCCGACCUGCACGAAUGGCGUAAUGAUGGCCAGGCUGUCUCCACCCGAGACUCAGUGAAAUUGAACUCGCUGUGAAGAUGCAGUGUACCCGCGGCAAGACGGAAAGACCCCGUGAACCUUUACUAUAGCUUGACACUGAACAUUGAGCCUUGAUGUGUAGGAUAGGUGGGAGGCUUUGAAGUGUGGACGCCAGUCUGCAUGGAGCCGACCUUGAAAUACCACCCUUUAAUGUUUGAUGUUCUAACGUUGGCCCCUAAUCGGGGUUGCGGACAGUGUCUGGUGGGUAGUUUGACUGGGGCGGUCUCCUCCUAAAGAGUAACGGAGGAGCACGAAGGUUGGCUAAUCCUGGUCGGACAUCAGGAGGUUAGUGCAAUGGCAUAAGCCAGCUUGACUGCGAGCGUGACGGCGCGAGCAGGUGCGAAAGCAGGUCAUAGUGAUCCGGUGGUUCUGAAUGGAAGGGCCAUCGCUCAACGGAUAAAAGGUACUCCGGGGAUAACAGGCUGAUACCGCCCAAGAGUUCAUAUCGACGGCGGUGUUUGGCACCUCGAUGUCGGCUCAUCACAUCCUGGGGCUGAAGUAGGUCCCAAGGGUAUGGCUGUUCGCCAUUUAAAGUGGUACGCGAGCUGGGUUUAGAACGUCGUGAGACAGUUCGGUCCCUAUCUGCCGUGGGCGCUGGAGAACUGAGGGGGGCUGCUCCUAGUACGAGAGGACCGGAGUGGACGCAUCACUGGUGUUCGGGUUGUCAUGCCAAUGGCACUGCCCGGUAGCUAAAUGCGGAAGAGAUAAGUGCUGAAAGCAUCUAAGCACGAAACUUGCCCCGAGAUGAGUUCUCCCUGACUCCCUGAGAGUCCUGAAGGAACGUUGAAGACGACGACGUUGAUAGGCCGGGUGUGUAAGCGCAGCGAUGCGUUGAGCUAACCGGUACUAAUGAACCGUGAGGCUUAACCUU
rnacentral:rRNA from 1 species